rnacentral:tRNA from 1 species
GAAUAAUCAUCCUAUAAAUUGCUAAUUUAUAUCUAUAGAAAAUUUUCUAUAUUAUUCU